CCUACGGGAGGCAGCAGUGGGGAAUCUUGCGCAAUGGGCGAAAGCCUGACGCAGCCAUGCCGCGUGAAUGAUGAAGGUCUUAGGAUUGUAAAAUUCUUUUCACCGGGGACGAUAAUGACGGUACCCGGGAGAAGAAGCCCCGGCUAACUUCGUGCCAGCAGCCGCGGUAAUACGAAGGGGGCUAGCGUUGCUCGGAAUUACUGGGCGUAAAGGGAGCGUAGGCGGAUAGUUUAGUCAGAGGUGAAAGCCCAGGGCUCAACCUUGGAAUUGCCUUUGAUACUGGCUAUCUUGAGUAUGGGAGAGGUUAGCGGAACUCCGAGUGUAGAGGUGAAAUUCGUAGAUAUUCGGAAGAACACCAGUGGCGAAGGCGGCUAACUGGCCCAUUACUGACGCUGAGGCUCGAAAGCGUGGGGAGCGAAACAGGAUUAGAUACCCUGGUAGUCCACGCCGUAAACGAUGAGUGCUAGUUGUCGGCAUGCAUGCAUGUCGGUGACGCGAGCUACGACAUAAGUACACUCCGUCCGUCGGGNGGUACGGUCGGCGACGAAUUAAACUUAAACUUAAGUAAGUUAGUACGGCGUGAGACGUGCCGACGGACCGACCGACCGAGGGAGGUAGGG
rnacentral:rRNA from 1 species